AGAGUUUGAUCCUGGCUCAGAUUGGACGCUAGCGGGAUGCUUUACACAUGCAAGUCGGACGGCAGCACGAAGAGCUUGCUCUUUGGUGGCGAGUGGCGAACGGGUGAGUAAUGUAUCGGAACGUGCCCAGUAGCGGGGGAUAACUACGCGAAAGCGUGGCUAAUACCGCAUACGCCCUACGGGGGAAAGGGGGGGAUCGCAAGACCUCUCACUAUUGGAGCGGCCGAUAUCGGAUUAGCUAGUUGGUGGGGUAAAGGCCUACCAAGGCGACGAUCCGUAGCUGGUUUGAGAGGACGACCAGCCACACUGGGACUGAGACACGGCCCAGACUCCUACGGGAGGCAGCAGUGGGGAAUUUUGGACAAUGGGGGCAACCCUGAUCCAGCCAUCCCGCGUGUGCGAUGAAGGCCUUCGGGUUGUAAAGCACUUUUGGCAGGGAAGAAACAGUUCGGGUUAAUAACC
rnacentral:rRNA from 1 species